rnacentral:rRNA from 1 species
AUACGUAGGUGGCGAGCGUUGUCCGGAAUUACUGGGUGUAAAGGGAGCGUAGACGGAAGGCCAAGUCUGAUGUGAAAGCCCGCGGCUCAACUGCGGGACUGCAUUGGAAACUGGUCAUCUGGAGUGCAGGAGGGGUAAGCGGAAUUCCUAGUGUAGCGGUGAAAUGCGUAGAUAUUAGGAGGAACACCGGUGGCGAAGGCGGCUUACUGGACUGUAACUGACGUUGAGGCUCGAAAGCGUGGGAGCAAACAGGAUUAGAUACCCUGGUAGUCCACGCUGUAAACGAUGAAUACUAGGUGUGGGGGGACUGACCCCCUCCGUGCCGCAGUUAACACAAUAAGUAUUCCACCUGGGGAGUACGAUCGCAAGAUUGAAACUCAAAGGAAUUGACGGGG